rnacentral:rRNA from 1 species
ACGGGUGCGUAACGCGUAGGAAUCUGCCCUGAAGCGGGGGACAACCCGAGGAAACUCGGGCUAAUACCGCAUAAUCUCGAGAGAGAAAAGCUGGGGAAACCUGGCACUUCAGGAGGAGCCUGCGUCCGAUUAGCUAGUUGGUAGGGUAAAAGCCUACCAAGGCGAUGAUCGGUAGCUGGUCUGAGAGGAUGAUCAGCCACACUGGGACUGAGACACGGCCCAGACUCCUACGGGAGGCAGCAGUGGGGAAUAUUGGACAAUGGGGGCAACCCUGAUCCAGCAAUGCCGCGUGUGUGAAGAAGGCCUUCGGGUUGUAAAGCACUUUAGUUGGGGAAGAAGAUGUGUAGUUUAAGAGAUGACACAUUUGACGGUACCCAAAGAAUAAGCACCGGCUAACUCUGUGCCAGCAGCCGCGGUAAUACAGAGGGUGCGAGCGUUAAUCGGAAUUACUGGGCGUAAAGGGCGCGUAGGCGGAUAUUUAAGUUGGAUGUGAAAUCCCUGGGCUUAACCUAGGAACUGCAUCCAAAACUGGAUAUCUAGAGUGCAGUAGAGGGUAGUGGAAUUUCCGGUGUAGCGGUGA